AACGAACGCUGGCGGCAGGCUUAACACAUGCAAGUCGAGCGCCCCGCAAGGGGAGCGGCAGACGGGUGAGUAACGCGUGGGAAUCUACCCAUCUCUACGGAAUAACGCAUGGAAACGUGUGCUAAUACCGUAUACGUCCUUCGGGAGAAAGAUUUAUCGGAGAUGGAUGAGCCCGCGUUGGAUUAGCUAGUUGGUGGGGUAAAGGCCUACCAAGGCGACGAUCCAUAGCUGGGCUGAAAGGAUGAUCUGCCACACUGGGACUGAGACACGGCCCAGGCUCCUACGGGAGUGAGAAGUGGGGAAUAUUGGACAAUGGGCGCAUGCCUGAACCAGCCAUGCCGCGUGAGUGAUGAAGGCCCUAGGGUUGUAAAGCUCUUUCACCGGUGAAGAUAAUGACGGUAACCGGAGAAGAAGCCCCGGCUAACUUCGUGCCAGCCGCCGCCGUAAGAC
rnacentral:rRNA from 1 species